GACGAACGCUGGCGGCGUGCUUAACACAUGCAAGUCGAACGGAAAGGCCCCUUUGGGGGUACUCGAGUGGCGAACGGGUGAGUAACACGUGCGUAACCUGCCCUUGACUUCGGGAUAACUUCAGGAAACUGGGGCUAAUACCGGAUAGGAAUCCUUGCUGCAUGGUGGGGGUUGGAAAGCUUCGGCGGUUUUGGAUGGACUCGCGGCUUAUCAGCUUGUUGGUGGGGGAGUGGCUUACCAAGGCUUUGACGGGUAGCCGGCCUGAGAGGGCGACCGGCCACAUUGGGACUGAGAUACGGCCCAGACUCCUACGGGAGGCAGCAGGGGGGAAUAUUGCACAAUGGGCGGAAGCCUGAUGCAGCAACGCCGCGUGCGGGAUGACGGCCUUCGGGUUGGAAACCGCUUUCAGCAGGGGCGAAGCUUGUGGUGACGGUACCUGCAGAAGAAGCACCGGCUAACUACGUG
rnacentral:rRNA from 1 species